rnacentral:rRNA from 1 species
CCCUUAGAUGUUCUGGGCCGCACGCGCGCUACACUGAUGCAUUCAACGAGCCUAUCCUUGACCGACAGGUCCGGGUAAUCUUUGAAUCUGCAUCGUGACGGGGAUAGAUUAUUGCAAUUAUUAAUCUUCAACGAGGAAUUCCUAGUAAAUGCAGAUCAUCAUUCUGCGUUGAUUACGUCCCUGCCCUUUGUACACACCGCCCGUCGCACCUACCGAUUGAAUGAUCCGGUGAAGCCUCGGGAUUGUGCCCAGAGAACUUUAUUGUGAUUUGGGUGUGAGAACUUGUCUAAACCUUAUCAUUUAGAGGAAGGUGAAGUCGUAACA